rnacentral:misc_RNA from 1 species
GGAAGAUGUGUCAUACAGUGCUUUAGCAUUUAUAUGAUACUUAUCUCAACAGAAAAUACAUGUGGUUUUGUGUUGCAUCUUGUUCUUCUUGCAAUCACUUUUUGUAGUUAUUACAUCCAAAAUUCUAACUGGCUUGAGUUCUGCACAUUUUUAAUGUAUAUUGCUGUUAUUUGUUCGAAGAUGCGGCAUAUAUUGCUCCAACAUUUACAUAAUUGUGUCUUG